CAGUUGCUAGGAUUAGACCCGAAACCAGGUGAUCUAGCCAUGGGCAGGUUGAAGGUUGAGUAACAUCAACUGGAGGACCGAACCGACUAAUGUUGAAAAAUUAGCGGAUGACUUGUGGCUAGGGGUGAAAGGCCAAUCAAACCUGGAGAUAGCUGGUUCUCCCCGAAAGCUAUUUAGGUAGCGCCUCGGACGAAUACUACUGGGGGUAGAGCACUGUUAAGGCUAGGGGGUCAUCCCGACUUACCAACCCUUUGCAAACUCCGAAUACCAGUAAGUACUAUCCGGGAGACACACGGCGGGUGCUAACGUCCGUCGUGGAGAGGGAAACAACCCAGACCGCCAGCUAAGGUCCCAAAGUAUAGCUAAGUGGGAAACGAUGUGGGAAGGCUCAGACAGCCAGGAUGUUGGCUUAGAAGCAGCCAUCAUUUAAAGAAAGCGUAAUAGCUCACUGGUCGAGUCGGCCUGCGCGGAAGAUGUAACGGGGCUAAGCUAUACACCGAAGCUGCGGCUACGUACCUUAGGGU
rnacentral:rRNA from 1 species